GUAUGACACUCACAGUGAAAGCACAAAACAUCAAGCCAACAGUUCAGGACUAGUCAUUCAAAUGGACUAAAGGUGGGGGAGAAAAAAUAAGAGUGGAUAAAAGAAAGAAAGAAAACAGAGAAAGGUGGGAAAAAAAAAACAAAGGAAGGAAGAGAGAAAAGAGAAUGAGAGGAAGAGAAGGAAGGGGAAAAACAAGAUUGACUUUACAGUAUGAGAUAUACUAUUAUAUAUUGUAUGAUGCCUCUGGCUUCCCUCUAUCACACGUCUUCUUUUCGAGUAAAGGUUUUUCAUAAAUGUGAGCGUGGAAGAAGAAACCAGUUAAAUAUGGAACUUCACACCAGGACACAAAAGGACUUCAAACUUUUAGAUUCCACAAGUAUGUGAAAAGAUGCAGUAUUUGUCUUUCUGUGCAUGGUUUACUUCACUUAUCAUCAUGUCCCUCAGGUUCAUCCACGUUGUUGCAAAUGACAGGAUUUCAUUCAUUUUUAAGACUGAAUAGUACUCCAUUAUGCAAAUAUACCAGAUUUUCAUUGUCUAUUCGUUCACUGAUGAACACGGGUUAAUCCUAUAUGUUGGCUAUUGUGAAUAAAGCUGCAAUGAAUAUGAGAGUACAGAUAUAUUCUUGACAUAUUAAUUUUAUUUUAUUUGGCAAUAUACCCAAUAGUAGCUAGAUCAUAUCAGAGUUCUAUUUUUAAUUUUUGAGGAAACUUCAUACUGUUUUUCAUAAUAGUUAUUACUAAUUUACACUCAGUAUACAAGAGUUCCCUUUUCUCCACAUUCUUUCCAAAAUUUGUUUCCUUUUCCCUUUUUGAUAACAGCUACUCUAACUGGGGUGAAAUAAUAUCUCACUGUGGUUUUAAUUUUCAUUUAUCUGAUUAAUGAUUUUGAGCUUUUUAAAAUAAAUACUUGUUGGCAAUUUGUAUGUCAUCUUUUGAGAAGUGUCUAUUAAAAUUUGUUUGCCUAUUU
rnacentral:lncRNA from 1 species